UGGGGAAUCUUGGGCAAUGGGGGCAACCCUGACCCAGCGACGCCGCGUGAGGGACGAAAUCCCUUGGGAUGUAAACCUCUGUUGUGCGGGACGAAGGACGUGACGGUACCGCACGAGGAAGCCCCGGCAAACUACGUGCCAGCAGCCGCGGUAAUACGUAGGUGGCAAGCGUUGUCCGGAAUUAUUGGGCGUAAAGGGCGCGUAGGCGGUAAUGUAAGUCAGAUGUGAAAUACUUCGGCUCAACUGAAGAACUGCAUCUGAAACUGCAUAACUAGAGUACAGAAGAGGGAAACGGAAUUCCCGGUGUAGAGGUGAAAUUCGUAGAUAUCGGGAGGAACACCAGUGGCGAAGGCGGUUUCCUGGUCUGAUACUGACGCUGAGGCGCGAAAGUGUGGGGAGCAAACA
rnacentral:rRNA from 1 species